AAUUUACGGCUGGAAGCGCGCUUUUGCA
rnacentral:piRNA from 1 species